rnacentral:rRNA from 1 species
UACGGGGGGGGCAAGCGUUGUUCGGAAUUACUGGGCGUAAAGGGUGCGUAGGUGGCUUUGUAAGUCAGUGGUGAAAUCUUAGAGCUUAACUCUAAAACUGCCAUUGAUACUGCUUAGCUUGAAUCAAGUAGAGGUGGAUGGAAUAUUACAUGUGGCGGUGAAAUGCUUAGAUAUGUAAUAGAACACCGAUUGCGAAGGCAGUUCACUAUGCUUGUAUUGACACUGAGGCACGAAAGCGUGGGGAUCAAACAGG